AGAGAGUUUGAUCCUGGCUCAGGAUGAACGCUGGCGGCGUGCCUAAUACAUGCAAGUCGAGCGAACUGAUUAGAAGCUUGCUUUAUGACGUUAGCGGCGGACGGGUGAGUAACACGUGGGCAACCUGCCUGUAAGACUGGGAUAACUUCGGGAAACCGAAGCUAAUACCGGAUAGGAUCUUCUCCUUCAUGGGAGAUGAUUGAAAGAUGGUUUCGGCUAUCACUUACAGAUGGGCCCGCGGUGCAUUAGCUAGUUGGUGAGGUAACGGCUCACCAAGGCAACGAUGCAUAGCCGACCUGAGAGGGUGAUCGGCCACACUGGGACUGAGACACGGCCCAGACUCCUACGGGAGGCAGCAGUAGGGAAUCUUCCGCAAUGGACGAAAGUCUGAGCGGAGCAACGCCGCGUGAGUGAUGAAGGCUUUCGGGUCGUAAAACUCUGUUGUUAGGGAAGAACAAGUACGAGAGUAACUGCUCGUACCUUGACGGUACCUAACCAGAAAGCCACGGCUAACUACGUGCCAGCAGCCGCGGUAAUACGUAGGUGGCAAGCGUUAUCCGGAAUUAUUGGGCGUAAAGCGCGCGCAGGCGGUUUCUUAAGUCUGAUGUGAAAGCCCACGGCUCAACCGUGGAGGGUCAUUGGAAACUGGGGAACUUGAGUGCAGAAGAGAAAAGCGGAAUUCCACGUGUAGCGGUGAAAUGCGUAGAGAUGUGGAGGAACACCAGUGGCGAAGGCGGCUUUUUGGUCUGUAACUGACGCUGAGGCGCGAAAGCGUGGGGAGCAAACAGGAUUAGAUACCCUGGUAGUCCACGCCGUAAACGAUGAGUGCUAAGUGUUAGAGGGUUUCCGCCCUUUAGUGCUGCAGCUAACGCAUUAAGCACUCCGCUCGGGGAGUACGGUCGCAAGACUGAAACUCAAAGGAAUUGACGGGGGCCCGCACAAGCGGUGGAGCACGUGGCUUAAUUCGAAGCAACGCGAAGAACCUUACCAGGUCUUGACAUCCUCUGACAACUCUAGAGAUAGAGCGUUCCCCUUCGGGGGACAGAGUGACAGGUGGUGCAUGGUUGUCGUCAGCUCGUGUCGUGAGAUGUUGGGUUAAGUCCCGCAACGAGCGCACCCCUUGAUCUUAGUUGCCAGCAUUUAGUUGGGCACUCUAAGGUGCCUGCCGGUCACACACCGGAGGAAGGUGGGGAUGACGUCAAAUCAUCAUCCCCCUUAUGACCUGGGCUACACACGUGCUACAAUGGAUGGUACAAAGGGCUGCAAGACCGCGAGGUCAAGCCAAUCCCAUAAAACCAUUCUCAGUUCGGAUUGUAGGCUGCAACUCGCCUACACGAAGCUCGAAUCGC
rnacentral:rRNA from 1 species